UCUAUUAGUAAUGGCGAAUGAACAUAGAAAGGCCAUCAUUGAAUUCUACUACAUUAUGUAGAUGAAAGUGUGAUGUUGGCGUCAUUAUCUAUGGUGCUGAUAAGUGGUGUAAGUUCGAUUGAACACGACUUUCCCAGAGAGGGUGAAAGGCCCUUGACAUCGCUAUUUUGGUAUUCUGGUAAUGAUGGUUGAGUAGAAUUGCUUGAGACCGCAGUUCGAAGAUGUGUGGCAAACCCCAUACAAGUCUAGAUAUAGUUGCGAGGCCGAUAGCGAACAAGUACCAUGAGGGAAAGUUGAAAAGUACUCUGAAAAGAGAGUUCACAAGUGCGUGAAACUGUACACUGUAAAGCGAAUGAUUGAGCGAUCAGGAUAACGAUCACUCAAGUGACAUGUAUGUCUCAAAGAUUUGCAAAAUCUUUGCGUUAAUUGUGAUGUAUAUGGUGCUGUACUUGAUUGUGUCCAGAAUUGCUUGGUGGGCUAGCACUAGCAUAGCUAUUUGUCGGAAAAGAGUUUCUUUUAGAUUCUCUUAGAGCAUAUUGCUUUUGAACUGUAUUUUUGCAGUUGGUUUUGCUGGCCCAUUUCUGAAAUAUGCCUCUAACUGUUUACACUGUAUAUGUGCAACUAUCUUCAAGUGAAAUUGUGCAUGUGUUGUCAGUAAGUUAAGAGUUCGUGAAAAGCAAUUGUCUUUGCUGUGAAUUAUUCGAACCGUCUUGAAACACGGACUAAGGAGUUCAACUCGAACGCAAGUCGUUUUCUGAAACGAAAUUUAAAGGCAAAGUGAAAACAACUCUUAAUGAGAUGUUAACUGAUGCGUACGCGCUGAUGAUAAGCACAAGUGAUGAGUAGCACAGUUGUAAUUGUUGCUGACUGCACCUGAGCGUUCAGGUUGAGACCCGAAAGAUGGUGAACUAUGCCUGAGUAGAAUGAAGCCAGGGGAAACUCUGGUGAAGGUUCGUAGCGGUUUUGACGUGCAAAUCAAUCGUUAAACUUUGGUAUAGGGGCGAAAGACUAAUCGAACCAUCUAGUAGCUGGUUCCCUCCGAAGUUUCCCUCAGGAAAGCUGGUGUGUAUGUUAGUUUUACCUGGUAAAGCUAAUGAUUGGAGGAAUCGGAGCUGUAAUAACUUUGACCUACUCUCAAACUUAAAACGGGUAAGAACUUGCGUGCUACUUAAUUGAGCAGAAAGUUGAAAUAACACGCGCCAAGUGGGCCAUUUUUGGUAAGCAGAACUGGCGCUGUGGGAUGAACUGAACGUUGAGCUAAGGUGCCAGAGACAUUUCUCAUUAGAUGCCAUGAAAGGUGUUAGUUGAUAUUGACAGCAGGACGGUGGCCAUGGAAGUUGGCAUCUGCUAAAGGAG
rnacentral:rRNA from 1 species